rnacentral:lncRNA from 1 species
AGCAAAGAGACAUGAACGAUGAUGGAUGUCGUUGCUGAAACGUGUGAGGUUUUGGCCAAAAACAUUGAGUUCAUGAUGUUGCAGAAAUCAAAGGGAGGUUGAAAAUGAAGCUAAUUCACGCGUGAUUCAAAUCUCCACCCAGUGGGAUAGCGUCAGCACAUUUUUUCAAACCACAUAGUCGUUGGUGCCCUUUUCCUUUUAUUUGUUUUAGUUUAUUUUCAUUUUUUUAUUUCUAUUUGUUUUCCAAUUAAUUUCUCACUCAUUUUU